rnacentral:rRNA from 1 species
CAGGGAAUAUUGGACAAUGGGGGCAACCCUGAUCCAGCCAUGCCGCGUGAGUGAAGAAGGCCCUCGGGUUGUAAAGCUCUUUUGUCCGGAAAGAAAAGCUUCGGGUUAAUACCCCGGGGUUCUGACGGUACCGGAAGAAUAAGCACCGGCUAACUUCGUGCCAGCAGCCGCGGUAAUACGAAGGGUGCAAGCGUUACUCGGAAUUACUGGGCGUAAAGCGUGCGUAGGUGGUUGUUUAAGUCUGAUGUGAGAGCCCUGGGCUCAACCUGGGAAUGGCAUUGGAAACUGGGCAGCUAGAGUGCGGUAGAGGGCAGUGGAAUUCCCGGUGUAGCAGUGAAAUGCGUAGAGAUCGGGAGGAACAUCUGUGGCGAAGGCGACUGCCUGGACCAGCACUGACACUGAGGCACGAAAGCGUGGGGAGCAAACA